UCCGGAGGGUGCAAGCGUUAAUCGGAAUUACUGGGCGUAAAGCGCGCGUAGGCGGCUGGAUAAGUCGAUUGUGAACGCCUUGGGCUCAACCUGAGAAUUGCAGUCGAGACUGUUCGGCUAGAGUGUGGGAGAGGGUGGUGGAAUUCCCGGUGUAGCGGUGAAAUGCGUAGAUAUCGGGAGGAAUAUUAAAGGAGACGGCGACCACCGGGAUCUACACUGACGCUGAGGUGCGAAAGCGUGGGUAGCAAACAGG
rnacentral:rRNA from 1 species